UACAGAGGUCUCAAGCGUUGUUCGGAUUCAUUGGGCGUAAAGGGUGCGUAGGCGGCGCGGUAAGUCGGGUGUGAAAUCUUGGAGCUUAACUCCGAAACUGCAUUCGAUACUGCCGUGCUUGAGGACUGGAGAGGAGACUGGAAUUUACGGUGUAGCGGUGAAAUGCGUAGAUAUCGUAAGGAAGACCAGUGGCGAAGGCGGGUCUCUGGGCAUUAACUGACGCUGAGGAGCGAAAGCAUGGGGAGCGAACAGG
rnacentral:rRNA from 1 species